CAGUCGCCGCGGGAAUACGUAGGUGGCAAGCGUUGUCCGGAAUUAUUGGGCGUAAAGGGCUCGCAGGCGGUUUCUUAAGUCUGAUGUGAAAGCCCCCGGCUCAACCGGGGAGGGUCAUUGGAAACUGGGAAACUUGAGUGCAGAAGAGGAGAGUGGAGUUCCACGUGUAGCGGUGAAAUGCGUAGAGAUGUGGAGGAACACCAGUGGCGAAGGCGACUCUCUGGUCUGUAACUGACGCUGAGGAGCGAAAGCGUGGGGAGCGAACAGGAUUAGAUACCCCCGUAGUCCCUGUCUCUUAUAC
rnacentral:rRNA from 1 species